rnacentral:rRNA from 1 species
UACGUAGGGGGCAAGCGUUGUCCGGAUUUAUUGGGCGUAAAGAGCGUGUAGGCGGCCUGAAAGGUCAGCUGUGAAAACUCGAGGCUCAACCUCGAGACGUCGGUUGAAACCAUCUGGCUAGAGUCCGGAAGAGGAGAGUGGAAUUCCCGGUGUAGCGGUGAAAUGCGCAGAUAUCGGGGAAGAACACCCGUGGCGAAGGCGGCUCUCUGGGACGGUACUGACGCUGAGACGCGAAAGCGUGGGGAGCAAACAGG